rnacentral:rRNA from 1 species
UACAGAGGUCCCGAGCGUUGUUCGGAUUCACUGGGCGUAAAGGGUGCGUAGGUGGCCUGAAAAGUUUGAUGUGAAAGCUCAGGGCUUAACCCUGAAAUGGCAUUGAAUACUGUCGGGCUGGAGGUUUGGAGGGGGGACUGGAAUUCUUGGUGUAGCAGUGAAAUGCGUAGAUAUCAAGAGGAACACCAGUGGCGAAGGCGGCUAUCUGGACGGUUUCUGACGCUAAGACGCGAAAGCGUGGGGAGCAAACAGG